rnacentral:rRNA from 1 species
ACGGAAGGCAGCAGUGGGGAAUAUUGCACAAUGGGGGAAACCCUGAUGCAGCGACGCCGCGUGAGUGAAGAAGUUAUUCGUAAUGUAAAGCUCUAUCAGCAGGGAAGAAAAUGACGGUACCUGACUAAGAAGCCCCGGCUAACUACGUGCCAGCAGCCGCGGUAAUACGUAGGGGGCAAGCGUUAUCCGGAUUUACUGGGUGUAAAGGGAGUGUAGGUGGUUUGGCAAGCCAGAUGUGAAAACCCGGGGCUCAACCCCGCGGACUGCAUUUGGAACUGUCAAACUUGAGUGCAGGAGAGGAAAGUGGAAUUCCUAGUGUAGCGGUGAAGUGCGUAGAUAUUAGGAGGAACACCAGUGGCGAAGGCGGCUUUCUGGACUGUAACUGACACUGAGGCUCGAAAGCGUGGGGAGCAAACAGGAUUAGAUACCCUAGUA